UACAGAGGUCUCAACCGUUGUUCGGAUUCAUUGGGCGUAAAGGGUGCGUAGGCGGUCGUGCAAGUCGGAUGUGAAAUCUCAGGGCUCAACCCUGAAACUGCAUUUGAUACUGCGCGGCUAGAGUGCUGGAGGGGAGACUGGAAUUUACGGUGUAGCAGUGAAAUGCGUAGAUAUCGUAAGGAAGACCAGUGGCGAAGGCGAGUCUCUGGACAGCAACUGACGCUGAGGCACGAAGGCCAGGGGAGCAAACGGG
rnacentral:rRNA from 1 species